GUGCUGUUUUGUGCUGUUUGGGCAAUCGGUCACUUGCCUUAAAUAAAGGAACCACUAAUUGUUUUUAAUGAAAAUUCAAUACUGCUCCAGCGGCUGGAGUUUCACUUCUUUAUAUUAAUUGCAACUAAUAGCAACGUUUAUACAGAAAAUGUGAAACACUGAUAAUUCUGCUGGCCACUGGAAAGCUAGGCAAUACAGAACUUAAAGGAGGCACACCCAGUCUGUCAUAUGCAGAUGGCAUAAAAACACGUGUGGCUGAAGCUAUGCGCUGUCGCUUUGACCUUAGCAACAACAGCAAAUGUGUUGUUAAUGCCACUCAGGCAUUAGGUCUAAGCAAAUGGCCUGUCGCAGAUGAAGACAAAAUAAGAGGUUUUUAUAAUUGUUCAAUGGGAGUUGUGUUGCAAGUUUCAUUUGCCUUCUGAUUAAUUGAUAUUGCCGUUCGAGUUCUGUUAGUAGUUCCAUUUGCCCGCUGACUAGCUUGUUUGCUGUUGUGUUUGAAGUUACAUUUGUAUCCUGAAAAAUAUAUAUUGCCAUUGUUUCUGACCGAAUGUUUAAUAGGGUUUAUUUUAAUAUAUUGUUUAUCCUGGGGCUGAAGGUUUAAAUGAUAGAAAUCAAACUUUGUGCUUAAAAUUAGACAUAUAUGAAACCUUAUUAAAAUAAAGUAACUAAGUUAAUUAACAUGUACAAAGUAAUGUAACUCAUGGCCACUGGAGAGGUAUACUUUGCAUGUCAGUACAUGUUUAAAGUAACGAGGAUAACAUUAUAAUACUUAUUGUAAUGCUGUGUGUUUGUAUGACACUAACAUUUAGCCUAUAGAAUAAUAUAUCAAGAAGAAUAUUUAUUUUUAUAAAUUAAGUAUUCAAUGCUAUUUGCAGACUUUGGUGAUGACACUGUGCAGGCUAUUGUAGCUGCCUUUCCUGAAACCCUUGGCAGAGAGGGCUUUGAUAUGCUGAUUUAGUGAUGACAGAGUGGAAGACUCUCAAGAAGAUGCUUGUUAAAAAGCAUGGUGUAAAGCUUACUGACUGUGACAUAAAAUGGGAUAUGGUGUUUGAAGAGGACUUCCCUAAUAUCAACCUCAUCAAUGACCUGGUGCAAAGCCUCCCUCCUACAAGCGUGUCCUGUUAGACCAGUUCCUCUCAAAUGAAGCUGAUUAAAACAGCACGCAGAUUGAACAUGAGGACACGACAUUAAACAGCCUCAUGCAGAUCAAGUUGUUGUCAUCAGAUGUUGCUGACUUUGAUCCUAAACCAGUUAUUGAUUAUUGGCUGUGUGCAGCAGAGAGACCACAUGGACAUAGGCGGGUCAAUUAUGCACGCAAGAAUGUACAGGAAGGUGUCAGUGUUGUUGCGAGUACUAGCCAUGUCGAGUUGGAAGAAGAUGAAAGCUCGCCAAGUGAAACUGACAUUUUGAAUGCAGUUUAUUGUGGCGUGCAAGACGAUGACUCAGACUGUGUUGUGGAUUUUUAAAAUGAAAAUGAAAUGCUCCUUAAAUCUUUUUGUUCAUAGUGCAAUUAUAAUGAUAAAUGUGUUCAAUAGUUUUCAGAACAUGUUUCAUCAAACUAAACAAGUACCAUGUAUGGCCGCUUUUCGUGUUAUUUUAUUAAUAUAUAUAUGUAGUUGGUAGGUCCUGUAAAAAAGAGGAGGUACUGUAUUUUUUCCCAGUUUAUAGGACCUACUGUCCUGUAAAAAGUUGACUAGUUUGGCGGAGACUGAGUUUUCGCAUCCAUGGCAUCUACGGCGAAAGAUUGCACACAUUAUAAAUAUCAAUAUUUACAGGCGAAUGACAAAUAACUUCAAAAUUAUUCUCUUGAACUUUUUUAAAUAUCCUUAAAUGUCUGUUUGAAUACAUCGGUUUAUUAAUAACACAUUUAAAUAACACUUUUUCAUAUCAAAUGAAAUGUUUGUAUGCCCUUCUGCUUGUUUCUAUAGAAAUCAUGUCAAACGAAGAAUUCUACUAACAAUAUAAGUUGUAUAAUAAAUAAAUUGUGAACAUGCUAAAAAUAAUUAUAAGAAAAUAGAUAAGUGUAAAAAGUAGAUAUUAUUAAAUGUUACUCGAGUCUUAAUUUUUAGGAAAAGCACUUUUGGAAAAUUACAAUCUAGCAUUUCAACACAAUGGAAUUUGUUGUUGUGUUUUGGACAUUGUUGUUGUAUGUAUUGAUGGUGUAAUUGAUAGUGUUUUUUUUAAACAUGAUGUUUGUAUUCUUAUG